UACGUAGGGGGCAAGCGUUGUCCGGAAUCAUUGGGCGUAAAGCGCGCGUAGGUGGCUCUGUAAGUCCGUUGUGAAAGUCAAAGGCUCAACCUUUGAAAGCCGAUGGAUACUGCAGAGCUAGAGUACGGAAGAGGCGAGUGGAAUUCCUGGUGUAGCGGUGGAAUGCGCAGAUAUCAGGAGGAACACCAAUAGCGAAGGCAGCUCGCUGGGACGUUACUGACACUGAGGUGCGAAAGCGUGGGGAGCGAACAGG
rnacentral:rRNA from 1 species